GCGUCAGUGGUUUAGUGGUAAAAUCCAUCGUUGCAGUUCGGUUCCCGAUCUGUCUCGAUGGGCCCCGCGUUCGAUUCGCGGCCGACGCA